UACGUAGGGGGGCUAGCGUUGUCCGGAAUCAUUGGGCGUAAAGAGUGUGUAGGCGGUCCGGUAAGUCCGCUGUGAAAGUCGGGGGGCUCAACCCUCGAAUGCCGGUGGAUACUGUCGGGCUAGAGUGCGGAAGAGGCGAGUGGAAUUCCUGGUGUAGCGGUGAAAUGCGCAGAUAUCAGGAGGAACACCUAUUGCGAAGGCAGCUCGCUGGGACGUAACUGACGCUGAGACGCGAAAGCGUGGGGAGCAAACAGG
rnacentral:rRNA from 1 species